GGUGGUAGAAGGAAGAGUACUUUCCUAGGGUCAUGAUGAAGUCCAGUGGAGUGUGUUGGGGUAAGAAACAAUGAAAUGGCUGCCCUGGGUGCCCUCCUUCAGUGGAAGAUCUGGGAGGAGAAAUGACUUAACAACUUAACUUUCAGAUCCUGAAUGCAGUACUAGCUGAAUAUGUACUCUGCUCAGAUGAGAACAAGGAUUUUCUUGGAAGAGCUGGCUUAUUGUUUGAUUCAGACAAAGAGUGCCUUAUCUGGAAAUGACCAGAACAUCAUUGGAAGUGAAUUUGGAUCUUAUUCGCUUUCAGAGAGAAUGUUUCUAGAAUAA
rnacentral:lncRNA from 1 species